AAAGAUUUAGUUUAUACAAAACAUUAAUUUGUCGAAUUAAAAAUAUUAAAGAUUUUAAUAAUCUUUA
rnacentral:tRNA from 1 species